rnacentral:rRNA from 1 species
UACGGGGGGGGCAAGCGUUGUUCGGAAUUACUGGGCGUAAAGGGCGCGUAGGCGGCCGCCUAAGUCAGACGUGAAAUCCCCAGGCUUAACUUGGGAACUGCGUCUGAUACUGGGUGGCUUGAGUUCGGGAGAGGAAUGUGGAAUUCCCGGUGUAGCGGUGAAAUGCGCAGAUAUCGGGAGGAACACCGGUGGCGAAGGCGGUUCUCUGGGCCUGUACUGACGCUGAGGAGCGAAAGCGUGGGGAGCGAACAGG